CGAAGAAUCUUCCGCAAUGGGGGAAACCCUGACGGAGCGACGCCGCGUGGGCGAUGAAGGUCGUAAGAUUGUAAAGCCCUUUUAUCGGUGAAGAAUAAGCGGGGGAGUGGAAAGCCCUCGUGAUGACGUUAGCCGAUGAAUAAGCCCCGGCCAAUUACGUGCCAGCAGCCGCGGUAAUACGUAUGGGGCAAGCGUUGUUCGGAGUUAUUGGGCGUAAAGGGCGUGUAGGCGGUUUAUCAAGUCUGGUGUGAAAUAUCUGGGCUUAACCCAGGGGAUGCGCUGGAAACUGGUAGACUUGAGUUCCGGAGGGGAAGCUGGAAUUCCAGGUGUAGGGGUGAAAUCUGUAGAUAUCUGGAAGAACACCGGUGGCGAAGGCGAGCUUCUAUCCGAGGACUGACGCUGAGGCGCGAAAGCGUGGGGAGCAAACAGG
rnacentral:rRNA from 1 species